GACGUAGGGCGCGAGCGUGUCCGGAUUUAUUGGGCGUAAAGAGCUCGUAGGCGGCUCAUUGCGUCAACCGUGAAAACCAGCAGCUCAACUGUUGGCUUGCGGUUGAUACGGGUGGGCUGGAGUUCGGUAGGGGAGACUGGAAUUCCUGGUGUAGCGGUGAAAUGCGCAGAUAUCAGGAGGAACACCGGUGGCGAAGGCGGGUCUCUGGGCCGAUACUGACGCUGAGGAGCGAAAGCGUGGGGAGCGAACAGG
rnacentral:rRNA from 1 species